CUCCACUCCAACACAAACAAGUGAAAGGACUACUGAUAUCAGUUCCACAACUUCUGGAAUUAGUCCAUCAUCAACCUCAACAUCACUCACGUCAGGGACAUCGAGCACAGAAGUAUCUACAACCACCGAGAGCUCCACUCCAACACAAA